AUUGAACGCUGGCGGCAGGCCUAACACAUGCAAGUCGAGCGGAUGAAGGGAGCUUGCUCUUGGAUUCAGCGGCGGACGGGUGAGUAAUGCCUAGGAACCUGCCUAGUAGUGGGGGAUAACGUCGCGAAACGGGCGCUAAUACCGCAUACGUCCUGAGGGAGAAAGCGGGGGAUCUUCGGACCUCACGCUAUCAGAUGAGCCUAGGUCGGAUUAGCUAGUUGGUGGGGUAACGGCCUACCAAGGCGACGAUCCGUAACUGGUCUGAGAGGAUGAUCAGUCACACUGGAACUGAGACACGGUCCAGACUCCUACGGGAGGCAGCAGUGGGGAAUAUUGGACAAUGGGCGAAAGCCUGAUCCAGCCAUGCCGCGUGUGUGAAGAAGGUCUUCGGAUUGUAAAGCACUUUAGGUUGGGAGGAAGGGCAGUAAGUUAAUACCUUGCUGUUUUGACGUUACCUACAGAAUAAGCACCGGCUAACUUCGUG
rnacentral:rRNA from 1 species